rnacentral:rRNA from 1 species
GACGAACGCUGGCGGCGUGCUUAACACAUGCAAGUCGAACGGUAAGGCUCCAGCUUGCUGGGGUACACGAGUGGCGAACGGGUGAGUAACACGUGGGUGACCUGCCCUGCACUUCGGGAUAAGCCUGGGAAACUGGGUCUAAUACCGGAUAGGACCGCACCGUGAGGGUGUGGUGGAAAGUUUUUUCGGUGUGGGAUGGGCCCGCGGCCUAUCAGCUUGUUGGUGGGGUAAUGGCCUACCAAGGCGGCGACGGGUAGCCGGCCUGAGAGGGUGGACGGCCACAUUGGGACUGAGACACGGCCCAGACUCCUACGGGAGGCAGCAGUGGGGAAUAUUGCACAAUGGGCGGAAGCCUGAUGCAGCGACGCCGCGUGGGGGAUGACGGCCUUCGGGUUGUAAACUCCUUUCACCAUCGACGAAGGGUUUCUGACGGUAGAUGGAGAAGAAGCACCGGCUAACUACGUGCCAGCAGCCGCGGUAAUACGUAGGGUGCGAGCGUUGUCCGGACUUACUGGGCGUAAAGAGCUCGUAGGUGGUUUGUCGCGUCGUCUGUGAAAUUCCGGGGCUUAACUCCGGGCGUGCAGGCGAUACGGGCAUAACUUGAGUACUGUAGGGGAGACUGGAAUUCCUGGUGUAGCGGUGAAAUGCGCAGAUAUCAGGAGGAACACCGGUGGCGAAGGCGGGUCUCUGGGCAGUAACUGACGCUGAGGAGCGAAAGCAUGGGGAGCGAACAGGAUUAGAUACCCUGGUAGUCCAUGCCGUAAACGGUGGGCGCUAGGUGUGGGUUUCCUUCCACGGGAUCCGUGCCGUAGCUAACGCAUUAAGCGCCCCGCCUGGGGAGUACGGCCGCAAGGCUAAAACUCAAAGGAAUUGACGGGGGCCCGCACAAGCGGCGGAGCAUGUGGAUUAAUUCGAUGCAACGCGAAGAACCUUACCUGGGCUUGACAUAUACAGGAUCGCGCCAGAGAUGGUGUUUCCCUUGUGGCUUGUAUACAGGUGGUGCAUGGUUGUCGUCAGCUCGUGUCGUGAGAUGUUGGGUUAAGUCCCGCAACGAGCGCAACCCUUGUCUUAUGUUGCCAGCACGUUGUGGUGGGGACUCGUAAGAAACUGCCGGGGUUAACUCGGAGGAAGGUGGGGAUGACGUCAAAUCAUCAUGCCCCUUAUGUCCAGGGCUUCACACAUGCUACAAUGGUCGGUACAGUGGGUUGCCAGUCCGUGAGGGCGAGCUAAUCCCGCAAAGCCGGUCUCAGUUCGGAUCGGGGUCUGCAACUCGACCCCGUGAAGUCGGAGUCGCUAGUAAUCGCAGAUCAGCAACGCUGCGGUGAAUACGUUCCCGGGCCU